CCCCUGAACCGCCAUCUCCCUCGCCACCAUCUCCCUCGCCACCAUCUCCCUCGCCACCAUCUCCCUCACCACCAUCUCCCUCACCUCCCUCUCCUUCGCCUCCCUCUCCUUCGCCACCCUCCCCCAAGCCGCCAUCUCCUUCGCCACCCUCUCCUUCGCCACCCUCUCCUUCGCCACCCUCUCCUUCGCCACCAUCCCCCAAGCCACCAUCUCCCUCGCCACCAUCUCCUUCGCCUCCCUCUCCUUCGCCUCCCUCUCCUUCGCCACCCUCUCCUUCGCCACCAUCCCCUGAACCGCCAUCUCCCUCGCCACCAUCUCCCUCACCUCCCUCUCCUUCGCCUCCCUCUCCUUCGCCACCCUCCCCCAAGCCGCCAUCUCCUUCG
rnacentral:lncRNA from 1 species